CAGAGAGCUUAUCAGGUGGGGAAGCCCCAGGCCAUUUUACCACAAUAAGAACCUCUUCUUCUAAAAUAGAAAAGCAGAACAAGCACAUACAGUCAUGUUUUUACCCAGUAGUAAAAGUGAUCACACGCACCACACCCAAAGAAGAGCAGGGACCUGGGCAGAGACCUCUAAAAGCACAGCCUGCAGAUCAUAACACCCAAGGAUCAGAAGACGGAUGGGACAGAACAGA